rnacentral:lncRNA from 1 species
UACAAUACACUCAUUCAAAGUGGUUGAUGGUUAUGAUAUUUACGGCCGUAUUUAUUUAGUUAUUUAUUCAUUUAUUUUAUAUAUUAUUGUCCAUUUAUAACACUCUCGUGACUCUCACCAUUGUCUUCCCUUUUCGUUUUUCCAUUUCCUUCAGCUUCGGCCACCCCCGCUCAGGCCCAGCUCAAUACUCACCCAUAGAUCUCUCUUAACUGUUUUCUGCGCCUUGGCCCUUGGGUUGCAAUGCAGUGCCAUUGCCAGGUACCCUCCUUUAUAUUCUCUCUACUCCAGCCAUUUUUAUCUCUUCGAUGAUUCUGAUUUCUGUCAUCUAUCCUCCUUUCUUUUUCAAUCUCUUAGCAAAUUUGCGUGAUCGAUCCAAGAAUUCUUUGCCCUGUCUAAACAAUAAAAUUAGUGCAGUAGCAAUUUGCAGAUUGCCCCUAUUAUCACCCCCAUUUCUAUGCACUUCUUUUGAGUUGAUCUCCGUUUUUGUUUUUGUUUUAUCUUUUAAUUCUUUUUCUCGCUGUUCUCGUUUUACUGUAGACUGUAGUUGAUUUGGGUAAAUAUUAUGGUUAGGCUUGAGUAGUGCAAUAACAAAAGAGUUGUUAUGCAACAAAAACCUCCUCAAGUGCAUGACUCAUUGAUAAUAAAAGCACUCAUCAUAUGACAUCAAAUAUCUACUUAUUCGAAGAGUUGGACAAAACUUGUUCCAAAGUCAAAAUUAGUAAUGAUGAGUUCAUAUAAGUUAAAAGAGAGGAGCUAUGAUAGUUGAGACACCGUCAGGUAAAACACCAAUUAAGAUGUUUUAUUUGAACAAAUAGAUAAAAAUGUCCUCAAUGUAGGACAAAUACUAAAAAAGAAAUAUUUUUUGGUGCUUAAAGACAAAACAUGCAUAAUUUAUUAUCCAUCAGGCCAUGAACUCUUAACUGUUGGCAUGACAGACAAAUGUUUCUCCUUAAAUUUUGAUUAAUCUAGUUCAUCAACUUAUACCGAUUCAAUUAAUGAAUUUGAAUUGUUGCAUAAAAGGAUGGGUUACUUUUAUAACAUCCCAAAAUUUUCGAUGUCAAAAUUUGUGCCAUCUCAGUGGUAGAGCGAAUUAAAAAUUUGUAAUUAUAUUAGACUUCAUAAAAGCUCUAUUGCUCUAAGGACAAACUUGUAAUUAUUUUAAUGUGACACUAAAGAGUGGUAGCAAUGUAAUCAUAUUAGACUUAAUAAAGGCUAUAAGGACUAACUUGUACGAGGAAGUAAAGUAACAUGCCAAAUCUAGAAUGAAUAAGUGGAGAGCUUGGAGAUUUCUUGGACUUAAGUGGCUAGUUGUCAUAGCCUUAAUAAGCAAUUAAACCAAGAUUUGAGUGUAAUUAUACCACAACUUAGUUGAGUUAGUGAAAAGCUUUAAUCCUUUCCGUGAAUUUCCACUAACUAUUUUAAGGUGUAACCAUGACCAUUAAAUGAAGUAAUUAAGAUUAAUUAUAUUUCAUUAAAGGAAAUAAGAGCACUAAGCCAUUUACAUCCCCACUCUCAUCUUCGAUUCUCCAUAGCAAAGGAAAAAAAAGAAAAAAUCUCGUGAAGUUCUCUUUGUGACGUGGGUCACUCUCCAAGGAUUACACCUUUUUCAUGUUAUAACAUUGAAAUAUGUUAAUUUGGCCAUUUUUAUAUAAAAUGAGAAGCAUAGUUAUAUGAGGUCUAAUGACCCCUUUUUCAUGUUAUUUUGAUAUAAUGUGAUGUUCAUGAGAAAAUAUGGAUUUGCUUUUAAGCCCAUGUAAACUUGAUAAUAAGAUUAGGAUACGAUUGUCAUGCCAAUUAGGGUAUUAUAUCUAAUCUUUUCUAGAGUUUUAUGUUGGUGUUAUGUGGGGUUUGGAGUUAUGUAUUCAAUACUUAAAGUUCUAAUGUGUUACCUCUUGGUAUGACAUGUUAUAUGGACCAUUAGGCAUACACUACCUCUUCUGAGGGUCUCAUAAUUUACUUGGAGUUCUGUUGCCUUCGAGCAAAACACCUUGAUGCUCAUAUGGUGUAUGUGGAUUUCCAGUAGUGUUCGAAGUCCUGUUUUACUAAGAUUACAGUGGGCAAUGUCAUGAAAUUAAUAAUAAAUUAAAAAGAAAAAAAAGAAUAUUGUUAUAGAAUGUUUGAUUAUAAGGACCAUUACAAGACUUGAUAAUGUGAGUUACCUGGGAAGUGUGUAUGCUAAUGUAUGCCUUGCCAUGUUGGUAUAUUAUUAUAUAUGCUUAUGUUCUGUAGGUUUUGCCUAUAGAUUCUCAUUUUCGGAUCCUUGAAGCUUGACUUGACUCAGAAUUAUCACACUAUUAACAAGAUCAUCAAAACUAUGAACUUAGUGCAUUUAUGACUUGUGGCAUGUAUAUAGGAUGUCAGCAUGUAUAAAUAUGCUAGGUUCAUUUCCUCUUGGUAUUUUGAGUUACUUGUUAUCGACUUGUUAUGUUGGAGGCUCUAACAGUUAUGUUUAACCAUAUUAUGUUUGAAAUUCUAGUUAACUAUGCAUUCAUAGUACCAUUUCUUUACUUGGAAAAUGUUUUGUAUGAUAUUAAACUUGCUUUACAUGAGUAGCGUGACUAAACAUGUUUUGGGAUGGUUUGCUUGUAUUUGGGAAAUAUCAGAGUAUGUUUUAUGCAUGCUCUGUUUGGAGGUGAUUUUGGGACAAUAUGAAAUGUUUUUGGGGUUGCACAAUAGGUGAUGUCCCGAGCUUGGCUUUUCAACAUCACGACUUCACCCAAACCACAUCGUGACUUUGCCUAACCAGCAAGUGACAACACGAUGUCACAUGGCCCAACGUCGUGACGUUAUACGUUGUUCCAGCAUUUUGACCCAUUCUGAGUUUCGAGGGUUCGUUCUUAACCUCAAACACUCCUAAUCACACCCCCAAAAUGAUUUUAGUUUUAAAAAGUUCCUAAAGCUAUACAAUGAUUUUAAACGAUCUUUUAUGAUUUUAUGGAAAUGCUUCAACAAUCGAAAUUAUCAAGGAAUUUAUAGGUUUUGUUGCAUAUGUUUUUCAGUAGCAUCUCUUAUCUGUACCAUCCAUCAAGAGGAUAAGGGUGUU